GAAGAACCGUUCAAUCUUCACGUUGCUGGCCAUAGUCGCCGGUCAACUAAAUGGGGCUACAUUCACAUGCUGAGGGAAUUUCAGUAGCUGGGUCAUGCAGGGAUGCAGCCUUACUGUACUCUGCAGUUGUGUUUAUUUUUGUGUUUUACUUGUAAAGCUGACUUUCUUACGGUGGUGUUGUUGAGCUUCGAGAUCAUGGUUCUGGAGAUUUGUGUGUAAAACCUUCGUUGCGGUGGUGGAGAUGGCUUUUUUUCAGUGCUUGGAUCACCGCAGUUGACUUGUGAUCCGCGCUGACUUCAAUAUCGAUCGAUGGAAACCGAACCUUGAAGGUGGAUCCUCAUUCGUUUCGUUUUGUUGGUGAUUUCCCCUGCUUUUGCACUAUUGACUUGCAGGGUUGAAUCAGAGUUGCGUGAAUUUCUCUUUCAAAGUUAAAAAAAAAAAAAAAACAAAACAAAACAAAAACAAAAAUAAAAAAGAACUGAAGGAUUUUUCUGCCCAUGUUACUAGUAUGUGCAAUCCCGAAAGGUUCAAAAGGGGAAAUAGGGACCAGAGUCCUUCCUUUUUCACUUUCUCGUUGCGCAGCGCUUGAGUUCCAUGUGCCUAGGCUAAAAGCAUACUUUUCCAAGCAAGUUAUCCGUGCGGUGCUCAUUCUGAACCUUAAAGCAAAACAAUUAUGUCUUAAGGUUCAAUCAGGGUGGAGAAUGGAGAGGAGAUAGAUGACUUGGUGGGAAAGACAUUGAUAUCCAGUGAGUCCUUACGCUCUGUGUUCAUUUACUACCAAUGAUGAAGCUCCAUCUCUGUCAUUGGUCUUAGCUUUGCUUUAUAUGACAUUAAUCCACAUCGUAGAUAUCAUCAUGUAACUACAAAGGACGACUCAUAUGUUCCGUGUCAAUUGGACUUAAAGGAGGUUACAGUGGGAUGUUGACUACUUUUGCAGAGGACAGUCAAAUGUCACACUUACAAAGCUUUUUUUGUGUAUA